rnacentral:rRNA from 1 species
GCAUGGUUGUCGUCAGCUCGUGUCGUGAGAUGUUGGGUUAAGUCCCGCAACGAGCGCAACCCUUAAGCUUAGUUGCCAGCAUUAAGUUGGGCACUCUAAGUUGACUGCCGGUGACAAACCGGAGGAAGGUGGGGAUGACGUCAAAUCAUCAUGCCCCUUAUGAUUUGGGCUACACACGUGCUACAAUGGACAAUACAAAGGGCAGCUAAACCGCGAGGUCAUGCAAAUCCCAUAAAGUUGUUCUCAGUUCGGAUUGUAGUCUGCAACUCGACUACAUGAAGCUGGAAUCGCUAGUAAUCGUAGAUCAGCAUGCUACGGUGAAUACGUUCCCGGGUCUUGUACACACCGCCCGUCACACCACGAGAGUUUGUAACACCCGAAGCCGGUGGAGUAACCAUUUAUGGAGCUAGCCGUCGAAGGUGGGACAAAUGAUUGGGGUGAAGUCGUAACAAGGUAGCCGUAUCGGAAGGUGCGGCUGGAUCACCUCCUUAAUCACUAGUGC